GAUGAACGCUGGCGGCGUGCCUAAUACAUGCAAGUCGAGCGAACAGACGAGGAGCUUGCUCCUCUGACGUUAACGGCGGACGGGUGAGUAAAACGUGGAUAACCUACCUAUAAGACUGGGAUAACUUCGGGAAACCGGAGCUAAUACCGGAUAAUAUCUUGAACCGCAUGGUUCAAUAGUGAAAGACGGUUUUGCUGUCACUUCUAGAUGGAUCCGCGCCGCAUUAGCUAGUUGGUAAGGUAAUGGCUUACCAAGGCAACGAUGCGUAGCCGACCUGAGAGGGUGAUCGGCCACACUGGAACUGAGACACGGUCCAGACUCCUACGGGAGGCAGCAGUAGGGAAUCUUCCGCAAUGGGCGAAAGCCUGACGGAGCAACGCCGCGUGAGUGAUGAAGGUCUUCGGAUCGUAAAACUCUGUUAUUAGGGAAGAACAAAUGUGUAAGUAACUAUGCACGUCUUGACGGUACCUAAUCAGAAAGCCACGGCUAACUACGUG
rnacentral:rRNA from 1 species